rnacentral:misc_RNA from 1 species
GUUGUGCUCUGCUUGCCGCCGCUACUGCUGCUGCUUCUUCUUGUUUUCCAAUGGGAUGUGAGUUUCAAAUUCUUGUUUUUGUAGUACAUGAACCGAUCAAAUCACUACGGUGCUUGACUCGUAACUUUCCUCUUUUCCUUUCUCGUUUCAUUUCUUAGUUGUUUUUCGCAUUUGGGCUGCAACUACAUUCUCGAUUCUUGAGUUGUUAUAUUAUACAACAAGCAAGAUAUUAACCUAGCCGCCUUCUAGAAACUAGAAAAUCAAAUAAGUUAUACUCAUCUGUAGUUCAUAAAUCAUAAUUGACUUGGA